rnacentral:tRNA from 1 species
GGGGAUUUAGCUCAGUGGUAGAGCGCUUGCCUAGCAAGCACAAGGCCCUGGGUUCGGGCCCUGGGUUCCCG